GCGUUGACGGUCGCCUCCGUCACUGCUGGCUCUGGCUUAUAACCUUCUGGGAUCCUCCAUUUCCUCAUCUGUGAUAGAGGGAAAGAUAAUCGUCCCUACGUAAUCGUCCUUGGGUCAGGAGGCUUAAGCGAGGCAUUCGCUGUAAAGGGGUGCCUGAUGGGCGGAACAAACUCGCUCCGAAUUCGGUAACACAACCCAUGGCCUAUGUCUGAAACAGCAGGUCAAAACUCUGGAGUGCAGCGGCGUCCCAGGAGUGAGGGAAUGCCAGGUUGCCUGCAGAAGUGUGCGCCUGUGAAUAACACUGUGCUCCAGCCUGGACAACAUGGCAAGAUCCCAUCUCUUUAAAAAAACUCAAACCCAUACUGUUCCAGGGGAAAAAAAGAAGAUGAUGACUCUUGCCUGAUAUAGGCACUUGUGUCCUUAAAGUUCAGGGAGACCAGGAGAUUUAUCUGAAGCACUGAGAGAAUUGAUACUCCCAGAACCUGCCCAUGUCAAGGAUGUAAGAGGAGCCAGCGACUACUGAGCUGCCUGCCCCCCUACCAGCCACAGCUCUGCCCACACGAAGAGCCUCUGGACAUCCCUGACAGCAGCCCCAAUGCUGAGAACAGACUCCUCCCCACUGUGCAUGUACACUUCUGCACCCCAAGAGGAUCCCGGAACAGGAGGGGCUAGGCAGGGUGGCUCUAAAUCCCAAACACUGGGACUGAGUCCCAGGGAGAACAACAGGGCCAAGAGUCCCUCCUGUGAACCUCCUGUCACAUUCUACCCUGACAGGCAACAGUAAUCCAUGGCCACAUUGGACAUCUCCCUGAGCUUCGAGGGAUCCUGGUGGCAGUGCCGUGACAUGGGGAAGCCCUAGCCAGGGAAG